rnacentral:rRNA from 1 species
UACGUAGGGUGCAAGCGUUGUCCGGAAUUAUUGGGCGUAAAGAGCUCGUAGGCGGUCUGUCGCGUCUGCUGUGAAAACUCAGGGCUUAACCCUGAGCUUGCAGUGGGUACGGGCAGACUAGAGUGCGGUAGGGGAGACUGGAAUUCCUGGUGUAGCGGUGAAAUGCGCAGAUAUCAGGAGGAACACCGGUGGCGAAGGCGGGUCUCUGGGCCGUAACUGACGCUGAGGAGCGAAAGCAUGGGGAGCGGACAGG